GCUUACGUAGCUUAAGUAAAGCACAGCACUGAAGAUGCUGAGAUGAGCCCUAGAAAGCUCCGAAAGCA
rnacentral:tRNA from 12 species